rnacentral:lncRNA from 1 species
GGGGAACAAGAUUUUUCCCCAAAUGACGCAAAUGUCCCUAAGGAGCCGCACGACCUCCGACCCUGGACGGCCGAAGUCGGCGUCCGACCUCGGGACACCCGACCUCAAGACGACCGACCUCGAGACCUCCGAUCUGAGAAAAACCCCGAUGUUCGAGGUCUACUCUUGUCAGCCACCUACUACGGCCGUGCACCUCUGAGGUCCGGCCGAAGACCAUACCCUGACGCCCCUCUGCCAUUUAUUGCGCAUGGUCGCUGUAACCCUCCGGCUCACUCCACAAUAAAUGCGGAUCUCCGGCUUACUCUACAAUUAAUGCGGAUCUCCGGCUUACUCCACAAUAAAUGCGGAUCUCCGGCUUACUCCACAAUUAAUGCGCAUGGCUCCUGUCAUCUACGGACUCUCAGCUCUCCAUGGCAAAUUAGCCCAGCAGAGUCUAGUCGACUAUGAUAAGUCUCUGAUCCCGGCCAUACCUCCGACACCAAUGCAAUAAUUCGCCUGGUAGCGUGCUAGUUCGGG